rnacentral:rRNA from 1 species
AUUGAACGCUGGCGGCAGGCCUAACACAUGCAAGUCGAACGAGUGGCGGACGGGUGAGUAAUGUCUGGGAAACUGCCUGGUGGAGGGGGAUAACUACUGGACACGGUCUCUCAUACCGCAUACCCUCAGAUGUGCCCAGAUGGGAUUAGCUUGUUGGUGGGGUAACGGCUAACCAAGGCGACGAUCCCUAGCUGGUCUGAGAGGUUGACCAGCCACACUGGAACGGGGACACGGUCCAGACUCCUACGGAAGGAAGCAGUGGGGAAUAUUGCACAAUGGGCGCAAGCCUGAUGCAGCCAUGCCGCGUGUAUGAAGAAGGCCUUCGGGUUGUAAAGUACUUUCAGCGGGGAGGCGUUACCCGCAGAAGAAGCACCGGCUAACUCCGUGCCAGCAGCCGCGGUAAUAC